UGACGCAGCAACGCCGCGUGGGGGAGGAAGGCUUCGGGUUGUAAACCCCUUUUCUCGGUGAAGAGGAAGGACGGUAGCCGAGGAAUAAGUCUCGGCCAACUACGUGCCAGCAGCCGCGGUAAGACGUAGGAGGCGAGCGUUAUCCGGAAUUAUUGGGCGUAAAGGGCGUGUAGGCGGCUCUUUAAGUCUGUUGUGAAAUCUCCCUGCUCAACGGGGAGGGGGCAGCAGAAACUGGAGGGCUUGAGGGCAGCAGAGGGGGGUGGAAUUCCCGGUGUAGUGGUGAAAUGCGUAGAUAUCGGGAGGAACACCAGUGGCGAAGGCGGCCCCCUGGGCUGCACCUGACGCUGAGGCGCGAAAGCGUGGGGAGCAAACAGGAUUAGAUACCCUGGUAGUCCACGCCGCAAACGAUGGACACUAGGUAUGGGGGGUAUCGACCCCCUCCGUGCCGAAGCUAACGCUUUAAGUGUCCCGCCUGG
rnacentral:rRNA from 2 species